rnacentral:rRNA from 1 species
GACAGAGGGUGCAAACGUUGUUCGGAGUUACUGGGCGUAAAGCGAGUGUAGGCGGUUUUGUAAGUCGGGGGGGAAAGCCCUGGGCUCAACCCAGGAAGUGCACUCGAAACUGCAAGGCUAGAGUAUCGGAGAGGUUGGUGGAAUUCUCGGUGUAGAGGUGAAAUUCGUAGAUAUCGAGAGGAACACCGGUGGCGAAGGCGACCAACUGGACGAAUACUGACGCUGAGGAGCGAAAGCGUGGGGAGCGAACAGG